AUGAGCGUUUUGAGCUGGAACUGCCGGGGGCUUGGGAACCCCGAGGCAGUUUGUGAGCUUCGCAGCAUUGUGAAGCAAGAAGGACCCACUCUGUUCUUUGUAAUGGAAACGAAAAUCAGAGCGAAACGAGUAGAGGAUCUAAAGCACUCUCUAGGUUUUGGAGGAUGCUAUGCCGUGGACAGUGCUGGGCUUAGUGGUGGCAUUGGUCUUUUU
rnacentral:rRNA from 1 species